rnacentral:rRNA from 1 species
UACGUAGGUGACAAGCGUUGUCCGGAUUUACUGGGCGUAAAGAGCGCGCAGGCGGUCGAUCAAGUCGAGUGUGAAAGCCCCCGGCUCAACUGGGGAGGGUCAUUCGAUACUGAUCGACUCGAAGGCAGGAGAGGGAAGUGGAAUUCCCGGUGUAGUGGUGAAAUGCGUAGAUAUCGGAAGGAACACCAGUGGCGAAGGCGACUUCCUGGCCUGUUCUUGACGCUGAGGCGCGAAAGCUAGGGGAGCAAACGGG